GUACCAAAAAGAGAGAACCACAUCAGUCCUCUUAGAGGAGUAAAUUUGUGUAGAGAGGGUUUUUGAAGACAGAAUCAUUGGAUUCUUUAUUUAUUAAUCAAUUCCUAUUCACUAAAUGGUAAAACUAGAAACAAUAUGUAGAGUUUAUACUGAAUAUAAUUUAUAUACAUUGCAACUUUCAUAGGCAUCUCUAAUGUCCAUAAAAGAUCUAUCCAACUAUAAGU
rnacentral:misc_RNA from 1 species